rnacentral:rRNA from 1 species
AGAGUUUGAUUAUGGCUCAGGACGAACGCUGGCGGCGUGCCUAACACAUGCAAGUCGAACGAAGCUUGAAGCUCUGAGAUUUCGGUCAAGGAGCGGAUAUGACUUAGUGGCGAACGGGUGAGUAAUACAUGAGCAACCUGCCUUUCAGAGGGGGACAACAGCUGGAAACGGCUGCUAAUACCGCAUAAUAUACGGGGCCGGCAUCGGCGCUGUAUCAAAGGAGCAAUCCGCUGAAAGAUGGGCUCAUGUCUGAUUAGCUAGAUGGCGGGGUAAAGGCCCACCAUGGCGACGAUCAGUAGCCGGUCUGAGAGGAUGAACGGCCACAUUGGGACUGAGAUACGGCCCAG